AGCAAAACAAAGACUGGAAAAAAGCAAACAAAAACAUGCCUGCAAACACAUCACGAUUGUUCACUUUGCCUCGAAUUACAAAACAGCAUUCUUCACAUGGUUCGAGUCUUAGGUCAUAAGACGUGUCAGUUUAGAAGAAUGUCGAGUGGAAAGGAUGCAAUAUGCUGAGAGAACGUCUGGUGGAACCUGGUUUUAGGAAUGACUUCUCGGAGAGAAAGGGCUUUAAUAAUAAGCAAAUGUAUCCGAUUUCUGAAAACACACUGUUAAGGUCGGCCGAGCAGCUGGCAAGGAUGCGAGUUCUGUGACCUGCCUCUGAACCCUUCAAACUCAUUUCCUGUCAAGCAUCAGACCCAGGAGGACAAGCAAAGAGCUGUUAAGUUCUUUUCUAGAACACUUCGAGUAGAAUUCCAGUAAUGGCUUGAAUUCCAUUCCAGUUGUCCUAAACUGGCCACUUCCAGUUCCUAAGACUGCGGUGCUGUAUGGCAGCACUGUCCUCCUUUGGGGGCUAGGAGGAAAGCGUGGGGGUUAGAAGGGAAGCGUGAGGUGGAGGAAAACAGAAUCCAGCGUUUCAGACAGGGAACAAGGAGAUUCAGAUGCGAUAAUCAUUUAACAUCAAGACUCCCUGUAGAUGAAAGUUAAUCGGUUUGCCCUUAACAGCAGAGGUGAAUCCAAAGGCAAUAUGCUGGGUGAAUGCCUACGUGAUCUCAUCCUUGGAUUGUAUGUGCCUUGACCAAGUGGAGCCAGGUGACAUCUGAAGAUGGGCAUCCGGAAAAAAUGCAUGGAUUCAUUCUCCUUCUGGGAUGCAAACAGAGCUCUCAUGGAUGGCAAUGGAAAGAGGAGACUGGAACCGUGGCUGUUGAGCAGAUAAAGAUCAACUGGGAAUGGAUAAAACCUCAAAUCCAUUGGGGACGCGUCUUCAACCACAGCAAAGCCAGCACUAACAGGAGGUGCAAUCAAUCACUCGAGUAGGAGGUGUUAGUGUCUUCACUGGGCAAAUUAUGGAUAUUCAGAAGGAACAAACGUAAAUCAAAUAAAUGCUUCUGGCACAACAACACAUGCAAUCCAAGAUGUGAGCAUAUUUGUGAUGUCCUCAUGUCACAGCUUUGUCUUGGCAACAAGCCUGUGAAGACUGACUAGAUGAUUUUAAUGGGUCUGUAGGACUGACCCAUAUAAACCUGAGCCUGAUCCAGACCACAGCAGGACUCCUUAGUGCAUGAAAGGAACAGAUCCCAAAAGGACUGAGAUAAAAUUAGAUCUUGGCAAAUUUGAAUUCAAAAGUAUUAUUUGAGAUCUCAUUCCCCACAAUAGACAUGCCAUUGGCAAACAAUCGAAAACAGGACAUAGGUACAGAAAUGAUCGCUAUUAUG